rnacentral:rRNA from 1 species
UCAGACCCGUGGCAAAUAGCUCAGUAGCACGUGGCCAAUCUACCCUCCGGAUCAGCACACCCUCGGGAAACUGAGGCCAAUUCUGUAUACGGCUCCCGACCUGGAAUGGUGGGAGCCAGAAACGUUCCGGCGCCGGAGGAUGAGGCUGCGGCCGAUUAGGUUGACGGUGGGGUAAUGGCCCACCGUGCCGAUAAUCGGUCUGGGUCAUGAGAGUGAGAACCCAGAGACGGACUCUGAGACAAGAUUCCGGGCCCUACGGGGCGCAGCAGGCGCGAAACCUUUACACUGCACGCCAGUGCGAUAAGGGGACCCCAAGUGCGCAGGCAUAGUGCCUGCGCUUUUCUGGACUGUAGGGCGGUCCAGGAACAAGGGCUGGGCAAGACCGGUGCCAGCCGCCGCGGUAAUACCGGCAGCCCAAGUGAUGGCCGCUGUUAUUGGGCCUAAAGCGUCCGUAGCUGGCUGCGCAAGUCCGUCGGGAAAUCCACUCGCCCAACGAGUGGGCGUCCGACGGAAACUGCACAGCUUGGGACCGGAAGGCUCGAAGGGUACGUUCGGGGUAGGAGUGAAAUCCCAUAAUCCCGCACGGACCACCGAUGGCGAAAGCACUUCGAGAAAACGGAUCCGACAGUGAGGGACGAAAGCCAGGGUCUCGAACCGGAUUAGAUACCCGGGUAGUCCUGGCCGUAAACGAUGCUUGUUAGGUGUGACUCCCACUACGAGUGGGUGUUGUGCCGUAGGGAAGCCG